GACGAACGCUGGCGGCGUGCUUAACACAUGCAAGUCGAACGGAAAGGCCCUGCUUUUGUGGGGUGCUCGAGUGGCGAACGGGUGAGUAGCACGUGAGUAACCUGCCCUUGACUUUGGGAUAACUUCAGGAAACUGGGGCUAAUACCGGAUAGGAGCUCCUGCUGCAUGGUGGGGGUUGGAAAGUUUCGGCGGUUGGGGAUGGACUCGCGGCUUAUCAGCUUGUUGGUGGGGUAGUGGCUUACCAAGGCUUUGACGGGUAGCCGGCCUGAGAGGGUGACCGGCCACAUUGGGCCUGCGAUACGGCCCAGACUCCUACGGGAGGCAGCAGUGGGGAAUAUUGCACAAUGGGCGGAAGCCUGAUGCAGCAACGCCGCGUGCGGGAUGACGGCCUUCGGGUUGUAAACCGCUUUCGCCUGUGACGAAGCGUGAGUGACGGUAAUGGGUAAAGAAGCACCGGCUAACUACGUG
rnacentral:rRNA from 1 species